UGGGGGAAUAUUGCACAAUGGGCGCAAGCCUGAUGCAGCAACGCCGCGUGAGGGACGACGGCCUUCGGGUUGUAAACCUCUUUUAGUAGGGAAGAAGCGAAAGUGACGGUACCUGCAGAAAAAGCACCGGCUAACUACGUGCCAGCAGCCGCGGUAAUACGUAGGGUGCGAGCGUUGUCCGGAAUUAUUGGGCGUAAAGAGCUCGUAGGCGGUCUGUCGCGUCUGCUGUGAAAACCCGAGGCUCAACCUCGGGCCUGCAGUGGGUACGGGCAGACUAGAGUGCGGUAGGGGAGAAUGGAAUUCCUGGUGUAGCGGUGGAAUGCGCAGAUAUCAGGAGGAACACCGAUGGCGAAGGCAGUUCUCUGGGCCGUAACUGACGCUGAGGAGCGAAAGCGUGGGGAGCGAACAGGAUUAGAUACCCUGGUAGUCCACGCCGUAAACGUUGGGCGCUAGAUGUGGGGCACCAUUCCACGGUUUCCGUGUCGCAGCUAACGCAUU
rnacentral:rRNA from 1 species